rnacentral:rRNA from 1 species
UCUGGUGCUUAUAGUUUCAGGGUAACACCCGUUCCCAUUUCGAAUACGGAAGUAAAGUCUGAAACGCUCAUGAUACUUGGCUGGAGACGGCCUGGGAAAGUAGGUAGUGCCAGGA